AAAACUGAAUGCCAUAUCAACGUAUUGAAGCUUUUGGCAACAGUCGGACAGUAAUGAACACAAAUGCCACCGCUUCACCAGAUAUUCAGCCUUGAUUUUGAUCACUCUGGACAAAUUGCAUCAGCUUCAGUACAAGUGUACAUGCCAAAAAAACUCGAGUGGUUCGCGACCUGAAGGGGAACCAAACUAUCAUAUAUUCUAUCAACUCCUCUCUGGUGCAGACAAUGACCUCCAGGAUCACUGGGCCUUGACAACCUGUCUGAGCCAAACCUCUUAUGACACCACUACAAAGGAGUGAAGAUCGACAAAAGGCUGGCAUAGCUUGGGCGAGAAUCGGGCUGCUCUUGGCGUACUGGGAGUAUCACCUGAUGAACAGAAUACUAUUUGAGUGUCCUGCAGCAAUAUAUCAUCUUGAACUGCAGGAGCUGUUAGAACUGCCACUGGUAACAAGUUCCAGUUCAGUAAGCCAGGCAGUGCCCAGCGUGCUCAACCCUCCUUGGAACAUCAGUUGAAGAAUUGGCUCGUUCUAUCUUUUAUGCCACACCUACCACACCUUCUACUAGAGCCUCAUUCAGAACUGCAUCACCAACAGAGGCCCACUGAGGCGUCCUGAAGGUCUGGAGGCUCUAGAGGGCAUGGCAACUGGUCUAUAUAGUGAAGCAUUCAAUGCCAUUGUGGCUCUCAUCAAUAGGUGUAUAUCAACGUCAGCUCACACUUCCAACUCCAUACUGGUGGUUGAUGCACCAGGCCUGCAAAAUCCAGCUUCAUGGGAGGAC
rnacentral:lncRNA from 1 species